UAAUAGUAGGUGUAAAGGCACUUCUUGUUUUGAUCAAGAGGGGGGUAGUGUAAUUCUAUCAUUAUUAU
rnacentral:tRNA from 1 species